UGGCGGCCUUAGCGCGGUGGUCCCACCUGACCCCAUGCCGAACUCAGAAGUGAAACGCCGUAGCGCCGAUGGUAGUGUAGGGUCUCCCCAUGCGAGAGUAGGGAACUGCCA
rnacentral:rRNA from 1 species